rnacentral:miRNA from 1 species
UUAAGUGGCUGCAAAAGUAAUUGUGAUUUUUGCCAUUACUUUUAUGGCAAAACCCGCAAUUACUUUUGCACUAAAC